CACAAGGAGCUGAAAGAGAUUGGG
rnacentral:piRNA from 1 species